GCUGGUGUGGCUCAGUGGAUAGAGCGUUGGCCUGAAGACCAAAGGGUCCCAGGUUCGAUUCCGGUCAAGGGCA
rnacentral:tRNA from 1 species